rnacentral:tRNA from 1 species
CAAAGUAUAGCUUAAUCUAAAGCACUCCGCUUACACCGAAACCAUGUUUGUUCAAACCAAACUUCUUUGA